rnacentral:tRNA from 2 species
GCCCCAGUAGUAUAAAAUAUUACCCUGGUCUUGUAAACCAGAAAUGGAGAUUAACUCACCCUGGGACA